AUUGAACGCUGGCGGCAUGCUUUACACAUGCAAGUCGAACGGCAGCGCGGGUUUCGGCCUGGCGGCGAGUGGCGAACGGGUGAGUAAUACAUCGGAACGUGCCCAGUAGUGGGGGAUAGCUCGGCGAAAGCCGGAUUAAUACCGCAUACGACCUGAGGGUGAAAUCGGGGGAUCUUCGGACCUCGCGCUAUUGGAGCGGCCGAUGGCAGAUUAGCUAGUUGGUGGGGUAAAGGCCUACCAAGGCGACGAUCUGUAGCUGGUCGGAGAGGACGACCAGCCACACUGGGACUGAGACACGGCCCAGACUCCUAAGGGAGGCAGCAGUGGGGAAGUUUGGACAAUGGGCGAAAGCCUGAUCCAGCAAUGCCGCGUGUGUUAUGAAGGCCUUCGGGUUGUAAAGCACUUUUGGCGGGAACGAAAAGGACUGUGCCAAUACCACGGUUCGAUGACGGUACCCGCAGAAUAAGCACCGGCUAACUACGUG
rnacentral:rRNA from 1 species